UUCGCCCUUAGAGUUUGAUCCUGGCUCAGAACGAACGCUGGCGGCGCGUCUUAAGCAUGCAAGUCGAGGGGCAGCACGGGUAGCAAUACCUGGUGGCGACCGGCGCACGGGUGCGUAACGCGUAUGGAACCUACCCACCGCAGGGGGAUAGCCCACCGAAAGGUGGAUUAAUACCCCAUGGCUUCCCGGAAUCGCAUGAUUCUGGGUGUAAAGCUACGGCGGCGGUGGAUGGCCAUGCGUGCCAUUAGCUAGUCGGCGGGGUAACGGCCCACCGAGGCUAUGAUGGCUAGGGGGUCUGAGAGGAUGAUCCCCCACACUGGUACUGAGACACGGACCAGACUCCUACGGGAGGCAGCAGUGAGGAAUAUUGGUCAAUGGGGGAAACCCUGACCCAGCGACGCCGCGUGAAGGACGAAGGCUUUCGGGUUGUAAACUUCUUUGAUCGGGGACGAAUAAUGACGGUACCCGAGGAACAAGCCACGGCUAACUACGUGCCAGCAGCCGCGGUAAUACGUAGGUGGCGAGCGUUGUCCGGAAUUACUGGGUGUAAAGGGCGUGUAGGCGGGAUGUCAAGUCAGAUGUGAAAUUCCGAGGCUUAACUUCGGGGGUGCAUCUGAAACUGAUAUUCUUGAGUGUCGGAGAGGAAAGUGGAAUUCCCAGUGUAGCGGUGAAAUGCGUAGAGAUUGGGAGGAACACCAGUGGCGAAGGCGGCUUUCUGGACGAUAACUGACGCUGAGGCGCGAAAGCGUGGGUAGCAAACAGGAUUAGAUACCCUGGUAGUCCACGCUGUAAACGAUGGAUACUAGGUGUAGGAGGUAUCGACUCCUUCUGUGCCGGAGUUAGCACAAUAAGUAUCCCACCUGGGGAGUACGGCCGCAAGGCUGAAACUCAAAGGAAUUGACGGGGACCCGCACAAGCAGCGGAGCAUGUGGUUUAAUUCGAAGCAACGCGAAGAACCUUACCAGGGCUUGACAUGCCCCUGACCGUUCUAGAGAUAGGACUUUACCUUCGGGUACAGGGGACACAGGUGGUGCAUGGUUGUCGUCAGCUCGUGUCGUGAGAUGUUGGGUUAAGUCCCGCAACGAGCGCAACCCUUGCCUUUAGUUGCUAACAGUUAGGCUGAGCACUUUAAAGGGACUGCCGAUGAUAAAUCGGAGGAAGGUGGGGAGGACGUCAAAUCAUCAUGCCCUUUAUGUCCUGGGCUACACACGUGCUACAAUGGUCGGUACAACGAGUAGCUACCUAGCGAUAGGAUGCCAAUCUCUUAAAACCGAUCCCAGUUCGGAUUGCAGGCUGCAACUCGCCUGCAUGAAGUCGGAGUUGCUAGUAAUCGUGGAUCAGCAUGCCACGGUGAAUGCGUUCCCGGGUCUUGUACACACCGCCCGUCA
rnacentral:rRNA from 1 species